GUGCAUCGUAUCACGGACCGCGGGGACGUGCGCGUGCAGUUCAACCACGAGACGCGCUGGACCUUCCACCCCGGGGCGCUCACCAAGCUUCCCAGGGCCAGCCACCUCGGCUUCACACCUGCCCAGAGCUGGCUUCUGUCUGCCUGGACACUCCUCCCAUGGCUCUGGGGCUAGGGACACCCAGGGCUGCCUUGGACACCUGGGGCUCUCGUCCAGCCAGAGCCUCUGGCAGUGCCUGGGGUCGGGGUCGGGGCCGGGGCCGAGUCAGGCCUGCCUGUCUCGUGGAGCUCAGCAGGUUGCCCUCCUGUUGCAUGAGCCUGGGCAGCCACACACAGCUGGGGGGCCCCUCACGCCCCUCUUUGUCGCUCAGCACCACUCCUUCUGGGUGGGCGACGUGGUCCGGGUCAUCGGCGACCUUGACACAGUGAAGCGGCUGCAGGCUGGGCAUGGCGAGUGGACGGACGACAUGGCCCCUGCCCUGGGCCGCGUCGGGAAGGUGGUGAAAGUGUUUGGAGACGGGAACCUGCGUGUAGCAGUCGCUGGUCAGCGGUGGACCUUCAGCCCCUCC
rnacentral:lncRNA from 1 species